UUAUCGGUCGGUUACUAAGUUGGUUGGACGGACGAACGGACGGUCGAUCGUCUAUGCUCCUCGCGUCGCGUCCGGCGCUAAGCCACAGUUACCGAAACAGCUGCCUUCGCCAACGUCCUUCGCCGUCGUCCGCUGAUUAAGUGCAUACAUGGACGCGCGCGUGUUUUUGUGUGUAUUUGUUAAGUUCAGUUUUGCCCUAAUUGUAAUUGCAAUUACACACACAUUUCUAAUGCAAUGCUUCUUCCGGCUCUAACUGCAAUUUCAUCACUGUUUUUCGGUUCGCUGCUGCUGCGCUCACCCCGUUCUGUCUGUCGUUUGCUCUGCACGUUAGCUAUAAAUUAGCUCUUAAAACGCUGGAACCCAAAAUUUAUUAUAGCACUGCGUUGGCAGCCUCGGUACACUGCCUGCGCUGCCAUCUCUGCAGUCUUUAUCUGUCGCUGCCGGCUGCCCAUCUACCUAGAAGCAAGCACACUUUCAUUUGGUGCACUCCAAUUUUCCACUUUUACAGUUUUCCCUAUUUCUUCCGCUUUCUCGCUUUCUCUGUCUUCUACUUUCCACAUUAUUGCUUGUAAAUUGUCUAUUUUUUGGUAUGCGGCAAUUUGUUAUUGUCUGCUCCACUCGCGUCGCGUGCUCUGCUCGCCUCCACUGAUUGAAGUGUUUACAAGAUGUUUCACGUACCAAAAGUUUUCGCUCAACCACCUCCUUGGUAAACUACAAACACACAUUCAUAUGCGCCGCUGAUAUACAAGUAUGUACAUAUGUAUGUGUGUAGCUGUUGCUGAUAUUUGUGGCUGCACUUGAGCGCCGAAAUUGUUGCUGUUGUCUUCAUGGCGAAAAAAGCGCUGGUAGAGCUACCGGCCACACCAGAAAGGCGCAAUUUGAAAGCCAAGCGACUACCAACAAAAUAAAAUUCAAGCCAACAACCUAACGCAAUCGUGUGUCGUUGGCCGUGGCUAAGAUGAAUAGGCGCACAGCAAAACCCAGCAAGCAACUACCAAAACGGCAAUAAGCAAGCAGCCAACAGCCAACAACCCACCAAAACAGUCAACAAAUUGUGUCGCGCGCGAAGUGAAAAACUGAAAAACAACAGCAAAACCAUUUGCACAAACAUACAACAACAGCAACGACUGCAACAAAAGCAACGGCGACACAAAGUACGGCAACAAUAAAUGCAAAAAGAGGCAGCCGGCAGACAGGCAGCCAGCCAGCAAGCAAGCAGGCCAGCUAGCAGCCGCGAGCGCGUUUGAUUCGAUUUGGGAGUAAUGCUGGCAUUGCCGGCGCUACUGAGACUUGCUGUGUGCAAUGCACACCUCGCCUGCCAGUGCUCAGCUGUUGAUCGACACGCUCGCUCACUCAUUCCCAUUAGCCGAAAAGAUACAAAACGCGCUCUAUAUGUAAUUGUAUUUCGCUAGCGAGCUGACGCGGUAAUAAUACAAAGAAAAGCACGCGAUAAACGGGUGAAAAUUAAAUUCGUGUUCUUAUUUUUUGGCGAAGAAGCGCUAAUUUUUCAGUACGCGUUCGCAACGUGUGGAAGUUGAUGAAGUAAUAGUGAGGAAAAUUUUUAAAUUUUUUUCGGUUUUCUACUGUGCAAGAAGAUUUUGUGAUUCAAAUAAUUUAGAGCAGUUACUUCAAAUGUAUGGUAAAGUGUAUGGGGAGUAAUUUGAAGUAAGUGCUGCGAAAGUACGCCGUGAGGAAAAUUGAAAAAAAAUUGAAUAUAAACUAAAGGCCUGCAAUAGGAUUCAGAAAAUGAAUUGAAUUUUCUGAAUAAUGAAAAAUUAAGGUCAACGAAGAUCGGAAAUACGCUCACGAAUUGAAAUGGCUUUGAUGUGAAGUUGCUUAAAAAAUAUUAAGUAAAUGUGAUAGCGCAUUAUUAUAAAUCAUUUUACGAUAAAAUAUAGAAUUACAAAAAAAGAAAUGUGUAAAUUUAAAUAAUUGUAACACAUGUAUUGAAAUGUGAAUUAAACAGAUAAUUACAUACAAAAAUCAAAUCUAAAGCAUCAACUCAGAUGUGAAAAAUUAGUUCUCAAAAUUUUCGCCAGUACCACAGCUGCUAAUUGAGUAGCUAUGAAAUACAGAAAUAUGGCGUGUGAGCUUUUAAAGGUAAAAAAACAUUAGAAUUGGACUAAAAAUAAAAAAAAAAGUAAAGGCGAUUAUUUAAGAAAAAUACAAAAAAAUACGCGCGUUUUUAGUUGAACGUAAAAUCCGGUAAUAUUUCAAAAUAAAUCAUAAAGUAAAAAUUGUUUAAGGCAAAAAUUACAGAAGGAACGCAAAACACUGAGAAUUAUUCAGUUACGAGAAAAAAAUAUGAAAUAAAAAAACCUGCAUAGCAAAAAAAAAAAUUAUCAUAAAAUGAAAAAUAACUAUUAAAAAAUUGUUCUACAGCUGUAAAAUACAUUAAAUUCACAGUGCUUAUUUCUAUUUUCAAAUUACAAAAAAAUCCACGAACAUAAAAAAAAAUGUUUUAACUACAUAUAAGACAGAAGCUAGUGGAAAAAGUGUAUUUUGUCACAAAUAAAAAAUUUCUAGGGAUGCAAAUUUUCUUUUCACCCUUUAGCGGCUAUUUAUCCUGUUUUUUCUGGGUCUUCAAUGUUGAUCACUUUUAUACAUAAAAAAGAGUUUUAAUUAUUUAAAAUGCAGUUGCAAAUGAAGAAAGUGUUUUGUGUCAUGAAUAAAAUUUCUCUGGGGAUGAACUUUUUUUUUCGCGCUUAAGCACCUAAUUUUUUUUCCUUUUUUUUGUGGUUCUUGAAUGUUGCUUACUUUCAUAAAAAAUUAUAAGUUCAGUGUCUAACAAAAUCCAUAAAAAUUCAAAUUAAACUCUAUACAAAAAUUUGAAAUUUUCUUUUUUUCUCUUUUCAACCCGAUGCUACGGUUUUCAAGUAGAAUUUUUCCAAAAAGCUUUAUAGUUUCUGUCGUAUAUUGGCGUUAAUCAAUAAUGUGGGACACUUGUGAACUAGACAGUUGCAGUAUACAAACAAACAAGCGUAUAGGUCAAAAUAAAGAUUUCCAUAGCACAAAAUCAUUUUUUUUUUUUAAUUGGAUAAUUAAUUUUACGCCACCUUGUAUUUACAAUGCGAAAAUACAAUAAAUAAACCUAUAAGUAUACAGGCAACGGUAAAUAAUACCACACGAAUAUUUUCAGUUUUUUUUUCGCUUUGAAUAUUUUUGUUGAUUUUUUGUUUUUUUUUCUCUUUUUUGUUCAUGAAUGAUAAUUAUUUUUUUAUUUUUUACCGUUACUUACUUUUUAUUUGAAUUAUAGUUCAUUGUGCAACAGAAUCCAAAUAAAUUUUUUUUUAAAUUUUAUUAAAAUUUUAUAACAAAUUUUUCACAAAAUUUUCAAUCCCGCGUAAUUUUUUAUUAUAAUUUCUAGAAUUUUUUCUAUAUGUUUUUUUUCAGAAUUUCUAGAAAAAAUUGGUAUGCUGUUUUAUAGCUUAUUAAAUUUAAUAAAAAUGAAAAAUAUAUAGAAGUAAAUAAAAAAAUAAAGUGCAAGUUUUAAGUUGUAUAAGAAUCCCGUUGAGCUUUUAUCCUUUUGUUCGCGUUUCUGUGUUAAAAUAAAAAAUUAACUUAAAAAAAUCUUAAAAAAAUUUUAGCGCUAAUUUUUAGAAAAAUAUCAUAACUGAAAUUAAUAAAUGUAAUAAACAAAAACAAAAAAUUAAAAACCGACGCAAUACCAAACUCUGCUUAGAGCAUGACUUUUCAGAAUAAUUUCAAAUAAAUCAAAUAAAUUUUAACAAAAGAAGAAAUAUACAUAGGUGUAUAUAAGAUAAGCAAAAUAACAAAGAAAAGGACACAGUUAAAUAUUGCAUCAGUGGCGCCAGCAAUCGAGGACAUACCAAAUUUAGCGAAGUCCUCAACCAUCUGUGUGAUCCUUCUGCCAGAAAAAUGUCACACACAGAUGGCGCUUCAAGCAGUAAGAAGGUGUUGUUCCUAAGCAACGACAGAUGGGCAUUUCCACCACUUAGGAAAGAUAGCGGCAGCCUAAUCACCUACCCUGUCAGAAAGCAAAAUAGAUUAACGAAACCAACGCCAAUUCUUCGAAACUAGGCCUAAUUUGUCAUUCAAAUGGCUUAUAAAAAUUCAUCAAAUUUUUAAAUUAAUAGGAAAGGUCUUCCGACAGAGAAAGUGUUCCGGUAGCUACGAAAAAAAAUAACACAAAACAAAAAUCAAAGAGCAAAAGACAAAAAUACAAAAUAAAAUCUUCAGUGAUUAGAUGAAGUUGAAAUUAUUUAGAAAUUCGGAAAACUUUUUAACGUUCGCAUCACAACAAGUUGCUCCAAUAAGAGCGACUCACUGAGCUUUAUAAAAACAAUUAAAACAAACUGAAAUAAAAAAUAUCCCUUCGAUCAUAUAAAAAAUAGCGUUUAUUUAGUUUCAACCGAAACAUUCGAAGUAAAUAAAUAAUAAAUAACUAAAUAAAAAAUCUUCCAAGUGUACUUAAAAUAUAACAAACCUUUUUGUGCUCUUUAAAAAUGACAUCAGAAUUUUGAGUGUUCUCUUGGAAAAUUGAAUAUAUUUCGGAACCCGUGAAAGCCAAUAAAAUAUAAAGAUUUCCUUAAUAAAAGACAUUUCCUUUUAAUCCGAAAUUCCGCUGCAACGACUCGCAUAUUGCGGAAUUACUUACAUUUUUCGGAGUGUUCACAAUUUAAAAUUCUGAAGAAAAACAAGAACAUGCACGUACCUAUUACGGUUGAGAAAUUAAAUUUAGUCCAAAACCGCUGUGAAACCAUUUUCGGAGUUAUUCUGAGUAAUUUUCGUUUGAUCAAAUUUGCUUUCCAAUUCAUGUAUUAUAAUUAAAGUUAGUUAUUGCGAAGUCGGAAAACUGAGCACGACCUAAAAUUGCGUGUCAAAUUAUCUAUAAAGAACUUAAACUAUAUUUUUAACAUUUCGGUGUACACAAAUUUACUAUUCAAUUUAUAAAAAUCAAAACUACUUUUUAGUAAAAGUAUCAAAAAAGUUCACAAAUUCGGAGUGUUCGCAAACAUUUUUCAUAAAAUUAUUUUUCAAUUUAUACGUAAAAAUUGAAAAUACCUUUUAAUAAAAAUAUCAAAACAGUUAAAGAGUUUGGAUUAAUAUUAAAUUAGUUAUAAUUUUUUUUACAAUAUUACAAUUAAACCUGUCGAAUAAGACAUACAUAGUUUCAAUGUUCCGAAAAUUUCGAUGUGCAUAGAACUAUUUUUGAAUUUAUUUAUUAAAAUUAAAACUGUUUUUUUAUGAAAGUUUCAACGUAGUGAACAAACUCAAUUAAUUCUCAAUUCAUCUUUGACAAUUAAAACUGCUGAAUACAAAAUAGUUUGAAUGUACGGAGUAAUUAGAGUAGGUUAGAAAUUCGGAGUAUCCCGAUUAUCCAAUCGUUUUAUAAAAAUUAUAACUCUUCUUCUUCUUAAUUGGCGCGAUAACUGCUUAUUCGAUUUUGGCCGAGUUUAACAAAGCAUGCCAGUCGUUUCUUUCUCGUGCCAUUCGGCGCCAGUUGGACACACCAAGUAAAGCCAACUCCUUCUCCACCUGAUCUUUCCAACGCAAAGUAGGCCUUCCUCUUCCUCUUCUACCACCAGCUGAUUCCGCAUCAAAUACUUUCAGAGCCGGAGCGUUUGUAUCCAUUCAGACGACAUUACGCAGCCAACGUAGCCGCUACUUUUUAGUAAAAGGAUCGAGAUGGUUUAAAUAUUCGGAGUAUUCCGAAAAUCUGAAAAAUUUUCGGGAUGCAUAAAAAUAUGUUUCAGUUUAUUUAUAAACAUUAAAACUACUUUUUUGCGAAACGAUCGAAGUAGUUUAGAAACUCGGAGCGUUCCGAAAAUUUCGGAGAGCAUAAAAUUAUUUUUCAAUUUAUUUAUUAAAAUUUAAACUGCCUUUUUGCAAAAGUAUCGACGGAAAAAAACUCAAAGUGAUUCGGAGGUGUUCGUUUUCGCAAUUUCAGUUCAACAUCUUAAUAUAUCGACGCGAAAAUAAAAAAUAAAAAAAUAGAUAUAUAAAUUCAGUGAAACAAAAAACAUCAACAUCAACCGCAAUAAUUUCAUUUUAGCAACGAUUUUCAACAACGCAAUUCCUUGUGCGUCAAGCAACCAACCAACAAUACGAGUACAACAACACAGCAACCACGUCGUUGGUACCCUACUUCACAUAAUACACAUCCGCACGCACACACGUACAAAAAUCAGCAACCUGCUGUACUAAUUUUUAAAUAAAUACAAUACAACAAAAUCAGUCAAACAACAACACGACCUCUAUCAGCAAAAAAUAUUAUAUUAAAGAAGAAAAAAAAUGAAUUCAAGAGUGUUAUAAAAAUAUAAAAGAAGAUAAAUGUGCAGUGCUGAAAGUCUAUUAAACGUGCAAAAUAAAUUAAUAGAGUCGUUACUCAACGGCUUGUCGAUUAUUUUUAACUGAUUAGAGCAAACACCCACUGCACUUCGCACAGCCAACCAACCACCUUGAAUAAGUUGUCCGCAAGGAAGUGCAAGGUCAUACAAAUAUCAAAAUAAAGAAUAAAAUAAAAAAAAUUUCUUGGAAACUCUUUUCAUAAACAAGGCAUCAAAAUAGGUACUCGACUGCGUGAAAAUAAUCCCGACAAAGACAACAACAAUAUGAUAUAUAUAGAUGACUCAGAGCCAGAAGGUGGUAAGUACAACAAGCGAUAAAGCAACUUAAAGAUACUUACAUUCUAAUAUUGCACAUUUAUACGGGCUCAAGACCGUUUGAGUGGCACUUAGAUUGAGUGCUUCUAUUUUUAUUUGCACUUUUUUUUAAUAUUUAUUGCCUCUAGAAAACCACUUCGCUGAUAACGAUUUCUUGACAUCUUCAGUUUUAUUAUUCUCACUUUUUCCUUUGUUAUUCCACGUUAGUUGUUAAUAUUUUCUGUUAAAUGUACUUCAUUAGUACUUUAUCAACGGGCCUUGAUAAGAGGCUAGAAAUGCAGUGGUAGUGUGAGGGGUGCGCUUGCGACUAAAUCGUUAAAUGGUAUAAGGAAAUUAUGGCACUAUACAAGUGGCUAAGCAAAAUUUCGAUAUUUUAUGAUGGGAUAUUUCCUCUUUGUUUCAUAUUACAUGUAGAAUUUCUCCAUAGCGUUGGAUGGCAAAAAGUGGCAAAGUGGAGUAGCAAAUAGUUGAGCAUUCAUUGUGUUGUUCAGCACUACUCCCAGUAGCGAUAAAGCUUUCCUUGUAACAUUUUUAAUUAAUUGUACAAAUUAAUAUAAUAUUAGCAGUCCACAAUUAAAAUAUAAAUCAAUAAAAGUAUAAAUUCAAUAAAAGUAUUUUUUCACGCUUUUACUCAACCACAAGAAUAAAAACAUUAUUGUUAUUUGUCGACAAAUUUAAUUAAUAAAAUAAUAAAUUUUCGAUUAAAAAUUUCCGUUUCCGGCGUUUUCGGAGUAGAUGCACACGAUUCGCUAAGAAAUAACUACCAAAACCCAAGCUUUAGUGUUAUUUUUCAAUAAAUUUAAUAAAUAAAGUAAUAUUUUUUUGUUUCAAAUUUUGAAUUAUUCGAUAUUAUUCUUCAAUCCAUUAAUGGAUAAUAUAAAAUUUGAUGGAUUAAAGCUUUAACAUUUAACGAAACAAAAGCAAUACAAUAACAAGUCAGAGGAAUAUUAUCUGACUAAAAUUGUCUAUUUUCGGAGUAACUCCGAAUUUUUAGGAGUUGUAAAAAUUAUGAGAGCAUGCGAAAUGUAUCAUUCUUAUCUGCAUCAGCUAGUUCUAAAUAAUAUAAUCCUUAUUUGAAAUUUAAUAAUUUUCGGAGUAACUCCGAUUUUUUUGGAGAUGUGCAAAUUACUAAAGUACGAAUUAAGUAGGGGAAAUGUAUACCUUUUAUCGAUAUUUCAACGACGAAAGAGUAUAAUCUUUACAUGUGUUUAUUUCAAAGCACAAAUUCGGUGAAUUAAUACAGCACAUAGUGCGUAAAAUAUGCAUAUACAUAAUUUAUUUCGAACGAACUAUGUCAAGAAAAAUUAAAUAUGCACGUGAGACUAUAGAUUUCAUAAAAGUAGAAAAGCUUCAUACUCACGAUUUAAUUUUUCAUUAAAUUAAAGUUUAAAGUACUUAAUGAAUUUUCAAAUGAAUAAAUUUUCAAAAAAUGAUAAUGACAUGAAUUUCAAACCAAAGACGAUAUAUCCAGCUAUUAAAAAAAUUGCAGUUUACUUUUCAACUUCGUUCUUCUUGGACCCACACUCUUGCUGUUUCAUCAAAUCAUAAAAAAAUAGGUGAACUUUCCGCCUAUAAAAUAAAAUAUACACAAUUGAUACUUAAUAUAAAAAAUACAUACGUAUCUGUCUUGGGCGCAUGAAUGCCUUCGGAUGGUCCCGUAGUAAAGUUUUCUCUCAUAGCAGUUGCCUCCCUACAGGUAAUGCCCACCAUCCAAGUACAUUUCUGUUCUGAAACACAUUUCACAUUAGACCAUCAGCAUAAAAAUUAUUUUUGGGGCACCAUCAGGCCGCAUUACGUACAUUGAAGCGGAAGAUUAGGCAAAUACCUAAGAAGGGAUUUAUGAUUUUAAAAAAAUGUUGCUUAAAUCUGCGCUUUAAAAAUUAUCAAUGCCUGAAAAUGUAUUAAAAAUGCAUUACCCGAAAAUGGCGGCCCCCACUCAACGCCGGAAGGACAUAAAUUUUAAUAAAGUGUUUAACUAAAGCCAAUUUACAAAUUAAGAUAAGACAGCAGUAAGUAAAAAGGAUAAAAGAAAAAUACUUGCAAAACGAACGGAAAAGGCAGAUAAAUGCCACGCGAGACAUUUGAAUCUCCACGCCCACACAAAUGGAAAAUUCAAAAAGGAAACGCAGAGAAAAGGCAAAGCCGUUAAUAAAUUUUACGCAUUUUCGCGGAAAAAAAACAUGAAAACAAAAUCAAAAGCAAAGUGAAACAAACCCAUUUAAAAAGGGCAGGCGCAAGGCCAAGGCAGCAAAUACCAGAAGUAGUGAAAUUGUAAAGUUGAAAAGAAGUGCAAGAAAAAAGUUGGUUAAGCAGUGAGUAGUGAAACGAUGAAAAGCAUAUAGGCACAAACAGCUGUGGUAGAGUGUGUGUGUGUGUGUAUACGCCAUCAGGUUGUAUGUAUAUGCCUAUGUGGAUCUAUACGCCUUAGUAUGAUUUUGCUAAAAUCUCUGCCUUCUCAGAAUAGUCCACUUGAUGAGAGCUUGAGCUAUGCAGGCUGAAUUUUGUGAAGGGAAAGCAAAACUGUUCUUUGAAGAUGGUUUAUGCAAAUGUGAAACUUUCAAAACUGUGCCAGACAGCUUAGGCUGAAAAUUUUGCAAGAGGCAGUACAAGCAGCAUUAGUCUGCACCGGAAAUGGCAUAAGCAACAGCAUAAACAAUGCUAAGUUGAAUAGUAAAGGCGGAGGUGCGGUGUAAGUGGCAGGCGUACAGAACGCCAAGAAAAGUGGAAGAAGAGCAGAAGUAUGAAGUAUCAGCAACAAAAAUAUUUUCUCUACAAUUUAGGUUGUAAUAGUCGGUUAAUCAUUUCUUUGCAGACUUUGCAAAGUAUAUUUUUUUUUUUUUUUUUUCAUUUAACUCCAAAGCGGAUGGGCUCGCAAUGGCCUACUUCCUGUUGUUUUGCUUACAAAUUACCUCAUUUAGUUUGUUUAUUUUUAGAAUAAAAUGCUUAUGAGCAAUCCAAACAAAAGCCUUAAAAGUACUUCUUUUGUAUCUACAAAAUAUUUGGAAAUUUUGAAAAUUUAAUUUUAAACGUUUUUGAAUUGCAGCAAAUGCUGCAGUGGAGAGUUUCAUUCCGAAGAAAGUAGUACGAGUAAGACAUUUAGCUGAGCACUUUCUCCAACAGAAGAAGUUAGGCGGUAAUUAUGAAUUUAUGGUAAUGCCAUAUUUUGAAAUAUAUCUUAGCUUAGUAACUGCGUUUACGUUAAGUUUCAGCUCACUCUCAUGGCAGGUACGUACCGCAACUGGCCAUUGACGUAUGACCGAUGGAAAGAAUUGAAAAUUUUUUUAUAAAAAUUAAGCUAGUUAGAAAUAGAAAACAGGAUAUUUGGUUAUUUGUAAGAAUGUGUCGUACUGUUUUGCAAUACACGAAAUUUUUUUUAUAUUGAGAAAAUUGGCAACACCGUGAAGGAAAAAAAUUAUAACAAAUCAAAGAAAAAAACUUAUGACAAAUACGUGCGAUUUUCUAGCAUCUUCACUUCUAAACUUUAUUGCACUAGAAUUUAAUAAGCUAUAAAACUGCUUACCAAAUAUCUUUCUGGAAAAUAUUUUCAAAAAAAUCGCCUAGCUGGAGACAAAGAAGUCGUUGAACUAGUUUCUAAGGACCUCUUUGUUAUCGAAGGUUACGCCCUUCACAUAGUUUGGUUGGGAGCGGAAAAGAUGGUAAUCGAUCGGUGCAAGGUUCGGAGUAUGGUUUGACCAUGUCGGUCAGGUCUUUUCAGUCGAAUAGCCUCAUUCACGUGGUGUAAUUGGGCGAUUUAGAGCUCUUUGCUGACCGUUACAUUCAUUUCGAGCAUUUUCCAGUGCACCAUGCCAACCCAGUCCUACCAAACACAUAUCAUAAUCUUUUUUGUUUAAAGAUCCGCCUUGACUCUCGGCUUUGUCGUAUCUACUGAAGCCACCCACUAUUUUCUGUGCUUGAGUGACUUAUAGACACCAUUUCUCAUCUCCCGUGACGAUGCGGUACAUGAAGCAUUGUUUAUAACCGCAUGUUGCUCGAUGGCGGGCGAGAUGCUGAGAAGCAAUUUGAAGGUGACUUCCUUUGUUUUGACGCGCUCAGGGUCCCAAUUUUUCGGUAAAUUCCUUCGAAUGAGGGUGGUUGAGAAUCAUUUUAUGAGCGCAGUUCUUUUUCCGCCAAUUCACGACUGUUUUGGCGACCUUUCUCCUUCAAAAGGGGUUUGAAACGAUCUUCAUCGAACUCGGAAGGGACGUGUCAUUGACGUCAAAGUCGCCAUUUUUAAACUUUGCAAACCAUUUCCGUACUUUAGACUGUGGCACGGUGAGCCAUCCUGCAUACAAGGAGUCAUAUUUCAAUUGACAAUGAAGAGAGAAUUUGUGAGGCAAUAAAGUUUUAUCAAAAAAUUAUAAAUAUUCAAUCAAAUUCCUACUAGGAAUGCGUGCCUGUGAAGCCCACCUAACAGUUUCCAAUACUAUUCUGUCAAAUUCUUCCAUUUUUCUCCUUCUAACAUCAAAUUUUCACUCUAUUACCAGUUGGGUCAAAAAUACGGCUGAACCCGACAUUCCAACCACUAAGUUGUCAAACAUUAACAGAAAACAAGCAGCAGAAAUUGUUUUUUUUUUCGCUUAAAACUUCCAUUGUCAUUUUUUGUACAAAACUACCCAGUUGACCUUAAUUCAUUUGCCCGCUCCGACGCCUUAACUUAUGCUUCGAUUUAGCAACAUUUGCUGUCGCAGUAACUGGAAAAAAAAAAUCCAUUUAACUUCGCCAAUUUUAGUUUGCCUUAUUAUACCGACUUCAUUGUCGCUGGCUUUCACUAUUUGCUUCGUGUUGCCUUGGCAUUUUAUUUUUUAUUGUAUUGCGCGCGACGCCUAAAUUAAGUGCUAAUGGUGUCAAAGGUGUUGUUUGGUGAAAUUUUGUCGCAAACACUUUCAGUUUUUUCAAUAGAAAUUUAUCGCUUUGGUCGAGGUCUGUCUUCUCCUGUGACUAUUGUUAUUUGCGCUGUUAUUGUUGUUCCUGCACUUAUUCACUCUUUUGUUCGGCCCUUUGUUCACGUCGGUUAUCCUUGACAAAGUGACUCUCUGUGUGGCGCACGUGACUUCGCAUUCAAAGCAUUGCAUUACAGGUUUUUCUACUAAAAUAUUAACAAUUACUUGUUAUUGUCCCCCUUUUGUUUUUGUUGUUUAUCUACUUACUUUGUAGGCUUGCUUUCUAAACAGGCUUUAGAAAUAAGUUGGAGGUCACGCAUCCUUUUCUUUCGGUACCUAAUGGCCGUUUGCUGGUAAUAAAUACAAACAAUAAAGUUUUGCAAUCCGAGAUGGACAGCCAAAAACGUGGUGAGAGUGCAUCAAGGCUGCUGAUGAUAAUGCGGAUGAUUUAAUAUCAACAUGGGAAUUAUUCAAUUCGAAAUUUGUGUCAUUUAGCAUGGAAAUUCGGAGGCUACUGGAUUGCGGGGUCGUAACAUUUAUGGGAUUUAUUGGCUAAUUUGUUUGAUUUGUUAGCACCUAAGGGUAAAUAAAUGCAUUAAAAGGGACCUUCAACAGCGUGAAGGCUAUGCGAGUACAACAAAGAGGCUAGUUUUCUGGGCAAGCAGUGGACCAUCUGUUG